rnacentral:lncRNA from 1 species
GACUCCUUCUCCCUAGGCUAUAUGUUGUGGGAAAUUUAGCUUCAACAGAAUGCAUGUGUCUUUGAGAACCAAUGACAACAAAGGGAUGCGAUUAGACGAGUGAUAGAAGGAGCUGGAGAUUUCUUCACUCUAUCCUCAUCCAUCAACCUUUAUAGCUGGUUGUUACUUUUAAGCUUAGCAGAGAGGGAUCUUCAAUGGACAACCCCAAGAUACUGGGUGUCGGUGGAAGGAAAAUGAAUCAUUGGAGCAUAUAGACAUUUCGAAAGCAACUAAUGCCGAAACUGAGUUGUAGGCACUUAGGGACAAACUCUUCAUGGCUUGCAGUUAACCUAAGUAUUAGGCAUGGAGAUAGAUGCAACUAUUGAUAUUAAUUCUCUAUUUCUCUUUUGUCUCUCUCAUUGAUGAAUGUAAUUAGAUUUAUGAGAUCCAAAUUAUUAAUUAAUAAUAAAAAUAUAUAUUGAAACUAAACUUAAUUAUGAUAUAUAUAUAAUAUUGUAAAA